GAUGAACGCUAGCUACAGGCUUAACACAUGCAAGUCGAGGGGUAACGAGAGGAAAGCUUGCUUUCCUUGUCGACGACCGGCGCACGGGUGAGUAACGCGUAUCCAACCUGCCCCCAACUAGGGAAUAACCUUGCGAAAGUAAGACUAAUACCCUAUAAUUUCCUCAGAUGACAUCUGACGAGGAAUAAAGAUUUAUCGGUUGUGGAUGGGGAUGCGUCUGAUUAGCUUGUUGGCGGGGUAACGGCCCACCAAGGCAACGAUCAGUAGGGGUUCUGGGAGGAAGGUCCCCCACAUUGGAACUGGGACACGGUCCAAACUCCUACGGGAGGCAGCAGUGAGGAAUAUUGGUCAAUGGGCGGAAGCCUGAACCAGCCAAGUAGCGUGCAGGAUGACGGCCCUAUGGGUUGUAAACUGCUUUUAUACAGGAAUAAAGUUAGCCACGUGUGGUUAUUUGUAGGUACUUCAGGAAUAAGGAACGGCUAAUCACGUGCCAGCCGCCGCAGAAA
rnacentral:rRNA from 1 species